rnacentral:tRNA from 1 species
ACCUGGCUGGCUCAGUUGAUGGAGCAUGCGACUCUUAACCUCGGGGUUGUGGGUUUGAGCCCCUUGUCGGGUG